rnacentral:rRNA from 1 species
UACGUAGGUGGCAAGCGUUGUCCGGAUUUACUGGGCGUAAAGAGCGCGCAGGCGGUCGUGCAAGUCGCGUGUGAAAGCCCCCGGCUCAACUGGGGAGGGUCACGCGAUACUGUUCGACUCGAAGGCAGGAGAGGGAAGCAGAAUUCCCGGUGUAGUGGUGAAAUGCGUAGAUAUCGGGAGGAAUACCAGUGGCGAAGGCGGCUUCCUGGCCUGUUCUUGACGCUGAGGCGCGAAAGCUAGAGUAGCAAACGGG